AGUAAGGUCUCUCUGUAGAUGAAAGGGAGUGAGACUAAUGAACCCCAGAACAGGAAGAAGUGAAGGAACAAGGAUGCCACCUCCUUCCCAAGACCUGCCUGGUCUCCUAUCAACAGACAAAAACUUAAUGUGUACAGCAAGACUUUCAGGGAGCUGUGAGCAGUGACCCUUUGACAUCAAAGGCCGAGACUAAGGGGAAGCCAGCCGCCUCCACGAGGUGGGUCUGACUCCCACAGCCUGCGCUUGCCCCUCAGCACUGAAGACAGGCAGGAAAGAGAGGCAGAGGACAUUGCCCGGCCCACUUGGAAAGCCAAGGUGCAGAGAACAGAGGAGGACCAGACCCCACGUGUGCGGCGUUGCGGUGUCAUCUCCUGCCCCAGGAAGCGCCCCUCCUGCACCUACUCAGUCUUGGCCUGGUAGGUUGAUGAUAUUCGAUCUGAGACUCUGAGGACCUCACCGGGGCUCUGCAGACACAUCCUCCCUCAGAUAGCCGAGCCCAGUGGCCCAUGUCCUGCUCUGGCAGGAAGUCCUUCCUGAUGUCUACCUUACAUCUUUCCUGCUGCUGUCUAUUCAGUCCUCAGCAGUGACAGAAGAGCAGGAUCUCAACUCUAACAGUCGGGGAAUAGGUAAGAG